rnacentral:rRNA from 1 species
UCGCGAGAAGUCCACUGAACCUUAUCAUUUAGAGGAAGGAGAAGUCGUAACAAGGUUUCCGUAGGUGAACCUGCGGAAGGAUCAUUGUCGAUGCCUGCAAAGCAGAACGACCCGCGAACCGUUUCUCAACGCCCGGGACACCGGGGGGCGUCUAGCCGCCCGGUAUCCCGACGCUUCGGACGCRGGGGGUGCGAGCCACCCCCCAGCGGAUGGAGCAUCAAACACACCCCGGCGUGCAAAGCGCCAAGGUACUCCAACUGUAGGGCAAGCACCCGUAGGCCUGGACUCCAGCGCGAUCGGGUGUCUGUUCGGUAUCAUAAAUCUAAACGACUNNNGUGUGAAUUGCAGAAUCCCGUGAACCAUCGAGUCUUUGAACGCAAGUUGCGCCCGAAGCCUCGGCUGAGGGCACGCCUGCCUGGGUGUCACACAUCACUUUGCCUCCAAAACCUUCCCCCUUGUAACACUGUGGCGAUGGUUUGGAUGCGGAAGAUGGCCUCCCGUGACCACGAGGCACGGAUGGCCCAAAUAUUUGCUGGGGAAGCGAAGCGCCACGGCGUUCGGUGGUCGGCACAGCCCCUUGGGGCAAUGAAGCCCGUGGUAGCCGCGACAGUCCCCGGCGUGCGACCCUAAUCGUUAACCAACGCGACCUCAGGUCAGGCGGGGCUACCCGCUGAGUUUAAGCAUAUCAAUAAGCGGAGG